rnacentral:rRNA from 1 species
CCUCCUUGUGUCCUCCUUUUUGCCUCUUCCGCCAUGGGCGCACGCCUGCCGGAGCAACGCCGCGCGAUCGAAUGAAGGCCUUCGGGUUGUAAAGAUCUGUUGACAGGGACGAAUAAGCAAUGCGAAUAGUUUUGUGUAUGACGGUACCUGUUUAGAAAGCUCCGGCUAACUACGUGCCAGCAGCCGCGGUAAUACGUAGGGAGGAAGCGUUGUCCGGAAUUACUGGGCGUAAAGGGCGCGUAGGUGGGCGCUUAAGUCAGGUGUGAAAACUCCGGGCUCAACCUGGAGACUGCACUUGAAACUGGGUGUCUUGAGGGCAGGAGAGGAAAGUGGAAUUCCUAGUGUAGCGGUGAAAUGCGUAGAUAUUAGGAGGAACACCAGUGGCGAAGGCGACUUUCUGGACUGUACCUGACGCUGAGGCGCGAAAGCGUGGGUAGCGAACGGGAUUAGAUACCCCUGUAGUC